GAUGAACGCUAGCUACAGGCUUAACACAUGCAAGUCGAGGGGAAACGCCAUCGAAAGCUUGCUUUUGAUGGGCGUCGACCGGCGCACGGGUGAGUAACGCGUAUCCAACCUGCCCAUCACUUGGGAAUAACCUUGCGAAAGUAAGACUAAUACCCAAUGAUAUCCCACGAAGGCAUCGGAAUGGGAUUAAAGAUUUAUCGGUGAUGGAUGGGGAUGCGUCUGAUUAGCUUGUUGGCGGGGUAACGGCCCACCAAGGCAACGAUCAGUAGGGGUUCUGAGAGGAAGGUCCCCCACAUUGGAACUGAGCCACGGUCCAAACUCCUACGGGAGGCAGCAGUGCGGAAUAUUGGUCAAUGGGCGAGAGCCUGAACCAGCCAAGUAGCGUGCAGGAAGACGGCCCUAUGGGUUGUAAACUGCUUUUAUAAGGGAAUAAAGUGGGUCACGUGUGACUUUUUGCAUGUACCUUAUGAAUAAGGACCGGCUAAUUCCGUG
rnacentral:rRNA from 1 species